rnacentral:rRNA from 1 species
UGAUGCAGCCAUGCCGCGUGUAUGAAGAAGGCCUUCGGGUUGUAAAGUACUUUCAGCAGUGAGGAAGGUGGAUAUGUUAAUAGCAUAUUCAUUUGACGUUAGCUGCAGAAGAAGCACCGGCUAACUCCGUGCCAGCAGCCGCGGUAAUACGGAGGGUGCGAGCGUUAAUCGGAAUUACUGGGCGUAAAGCGCAUGCAGGUGGUUGUUAAGUCAGAUGUGAAAGCCCGGGGCUCAACCUCGGAAUUGCAUUUGAAACUGGCAAACUAGAGUACUGUAGAGGGGGUAGAAUUUCAGGUGUAGCGGUGAAAUGCGUAGAGAUCUGAAGGAAUACCGGUGGCGAAGGCGGCCCCCUGGACAGAUACUGACACUCAGAUGCGAAAGCGUGGGGAGCAAACAGGAUUAUAUACCCUGGUAG